UAGCGUAGGGGGCUAGCGUUGUCCGGAUUUAUUGGGCGUAAAGGAGCGUGUAGGCGGCCAGGUAGGUCUGCUGUGAAAACUCGAGGCUCAACCUCGAGACGUCGGCGGAAACCAUCUGGCUAGAGUCCGGAAGAGGAGAGUGGAAUACUGGUGUAGCGGUGAAAUGCGCAGAUAUCAGGAAGAACACCCGUGGCGAAGGCGGCUCUCUGGGCAC
rnacentral:rRNA from 1 species